GUGGGGAAUAUUGGACAAUGGGGGGAACCCUGAUCCAGCCAUGCCGCGUGUGUGAAGAAGGCCUUUUGGUUGUAAAGCACUUUAAGCGAGGAGGAGGCUACCGAGAUUAAUACUCUUGGAUAGUGGACGUUACUCGCAGAACAAGCACCGGCUAACUCUGUGCCAGCAGCCGCGGUAAUACAGAGGGUGCAAGCGUUAAUCGGAUUUACUGGGCGUAAAGCGCGCGUAGGUGGCCAAUUAAGUCAAAUGUGAAAUCCCCGAGCUUAACUUGGGAAUUGCAUUCGAUACUGGUUGGCUAGAGUAUGGGAGAGGAUGGUAGAAUUCCAGGUGUAGCGGUGAAAUGCGUAGAGAUCUGGAGGAAUACCGAUGGCGAAGGCAGCCAUCUGGCCUAAUACUGACACUGAGGUGCGAAAGCAUGGGGAGCAAACAGGAUUAGAAACCCGUGUAGUCC
rnacentral:rRNA from 1 species